rnacentral:rRNA from 1 species
CCUACGGGGGGCAGCAGUGGGGAAUAUUGGACAAUGGGCGAAAGCCUGAUCCAGCCAUGCCGCGUGUGUGAAGAAGGCCUUCGGGUUGUAAAGCACUUUCAGUGGGGAAGAAAGCCUUGGGGCUAAUACCCUCGAGGAAGGACAUCACCCACAGAAGAAGCACCGGCUAACUCCGUGCCAGCAGCCGCGGUAAUACGGAGGGUGCGAGCGUUAAUCGGAAUUACUGGGCGUAAAGCGCGCGUAGGCGGUCUGAUAAGCCGGUUGUGAAAGCCCCGGGCUCAACCUGGGAACGGCAUCCGGAACUGUCAGGCUAGAGUGCAGGAGAGGAAGGUAGAAUUCCCGGUGUAGCGGUGAAAUGCGUAGAGAUCGGGAGGAAUACCAGUGGCGAAGGCGGCCUUCUGGACUGACACUGACGCUGAGGUGCGAAAGCGUGGGUAGCAAACAGGAUUAGAUACCCUUUAGUC